rnacentral:tRNA from 1 species
GCUGAGAUAGCUCAGUCGCUAGAGCAUGAGACUCUUAAUCUCAGGGUGGUGGGUUCAAGUCCCACACUGGGUG